ACGAACGCUGGCGGCGUGCUUAACACAUGCAAGUCGAACGGAAAGGCCCUGCUUUUGUGGGGUGCUCGAGUGGCGAACGGGUGAGUAACACGUGAGUAAUCUGCCCUUGACUUUGGGAUAACUUCAGGAAACUGGGGCUAAUACCGGAUAGGAGCUCCUGCUGCAUGGUGGGGGUGGGAAAGUUUCGGCGGUUGGGGAUGGACUCGCGGCUUAUCAGCUUGUUGGUGGGGUAGUGGCUUACCAAGGCUUUGACGGGUAGCCGGCCUGAGAGGGUGACCGGCCACAUUGGGACUGAGAUACGGCCCAGACUCCUACGGGAGGCAGCAGUGGGGAAUAUUGCACAAUGGGCGGAAGCCUGAUGCAGCAACGCCGCGUGCGGGAUGACGGCCUUCGGGUUGUAAACCGCUUUCGCCUGUGACGAAGCGUGAGUGACGGUAAUGGGUAAAGAAGCACCGGCUAACUACGUG
rnacentral:rRNA from 1 species